UAAGGUAUUCGGUAAAAAUCCAUAGCUUGAAUAAAUAAAAGUUAAAUUUGCUUCAAUUUGAUCUUUAGAAAUUAAUUUUGGAAUUUCGUCUAUUGAAACGACGUCUUCGGGGUUCAAUUUUUGUAUUGCAUUUCGAAUAGAUUUUAUAUGUUUGCAAUAAUACAUUGAAGCGAAAAUCCAUAUACUCAUCUUGUUAAUAUAUGCAUUGGAGGCAAUGGAAUACCUGGAGCCUUUGUUUUAAACAAACCGAUACGACGCUUUUAAAAAUAUUUUUUUGUGUAUAAGACAAGUUUGUCAAUUUUUGGAAAUUGACCACGAAUUUCUUCUACCACCCGGUGCAGCCCAUUGACCACACAAGUGAAGUGAACAAUUAGCUGCCUUGACCAUACAAGGAGCGGCAUCGCUCAAAAACUUACAAUUUAUAAGAGGCUAGGGAAUCCCGCAGCACGAGGUUGUGUACUUGUGUCGGACAGCGGAGAAAGUGAUCCCGCCGCCCGCCCGUCAGGUUACUUUCAUAUUUGAAGUGUUACUUAACCUUGUACGGGUACAGCGCACGCACACAUUAAAUACUCGUAUUAAUAAUAAUAAUGUGCGGCCCAUCGCGAAACUUCAACGCAAGAGUCGCCGAGUAUGCAAUAACAUUAGGUCCAACUGCUCGCCCGUCAAGUUCUCUUUAACUGUUUCGUAAUGUUAUCCGCCAACCGCCAAGUGUCAAUAUCAUUGACAUGCCAGGGUAACCGUCUACUUAUCGCCGACAUUUUAUCUUCAAAAAUUCAAAAUAUUGUAUUGAACGUUGGUAUACAACAUUAUUCAAAUUACAAACAAGUAAAAACCCUAGGUACAGGGAACGACUAUUAUUUGUGGAUGGAUGUUUAUCAUCAAGGCGUUUAUACAAUUAUUAUUAGACUUUCGGUGACAUACAAUAAUGUUUAUUUUUUAUAAGAAGUAUACUAUUGUGUUAUCAGCUAUUUGAUGGAAGCCCAAUCACUAAACAAUGUAUCUUCUCUACACCCUGAGGGUAGCGGUACGUAUUGUAUUUGGGUUUGGAAUCUAAAAUGUGCU